UCUCGUCUUCUCAUCUUCUCACGCGUCGAAACCUAAAAGCCAUCGUCGUUGUCGUAGUUUCUACCGCCGCUGCUGCCACCGCCUUCGUCAUCUUCUUCUUCUCACCUUAUCGUGCCCGCCCGCCGCUACCGUCGCCGCUUCCACCGCAGUUUCCUCCGCCGCCGUUGCUGCCUUCUCUUCUUCUUCUUCUCGCCCUGUUGUGCCUGCCCGCCGCUACCACCGCUUCCACUGCCUUCUUCUUCUUCUUCUUCUUCUCGCCUUGUCAUGCCCACCCCGUGAGUUGCCCGAUCAGGCCACGCCGGAGCGCCGAUUCAUCCAGAGCUAGUUGGUAAAGAUGCAUUUGCAGAAACAGAUAAGAUUACCUUGGAGACUGCUAAUCUUCUGUGUGAAGAUUAUCUUGCCCAGAAUGCAUUUACUCCAUAAGUUGUAUUUGACACAAUCAGUCAUUGGCAUAACUUUACCAUAAUUGUUUUUGUCUCGUCAAGUACCAAUCAACAACUUCUGCAAUAGAAAUGACAAGUUCUACCCAUUCUACAAAUUAGUUUGGAUGAUGCGUAACAUUAUUCACUUCAACACUUUGGCGAAUCAGGUCGUCGAGAGAGGAGCAGGUUCUGAUGGUCAAAAGAUCACUUAUAGCAUCAUCAAGCAUUGAUUAGGUGACCUCUUCUAUCGAUUAGUGUCCCAAAAGUUUGAAGACCUUGCCGAAGGUGCAACAACUUGAAAGGCACAAAGAUAUUGAUAAACACAUGAACCAUCAUUUCUUAUUACGAGAUGAAGAGGAUUAUGAUGACGAAGUAUUAUAGAAGUUAUCUCCAGAUGACGAGGAGUUGUUCUUUAUGUUUUUUCUUCUGUAACUUUCAUGAGAAUAUUAGUUUUUUUUAUUAUCAAAUUAAUGAUGGAUAUGUAGAUAUUUUUAUUAUUGGAUGAAUGUUGACAUGAAACCUAUGUAUUAACUUGUAAGUUAAAAAAUAUUAGAAUUUUGUUUAUGUAUAUCACUUUUAAUUUAUGAAAAGAGAGUUUUUCCUUU